rnacentral:rRNA from 1 species
GCCAUGCAUGUCUCAGUACAAACAAUAUUAAUGUGAAACCGCGAAAGGCUCAUUAAAUCAGUUAUGGUUCCUUAGAUCGUACCCACAUUUACUUGGAUAACUGUGGUAAUUCUAGAGCUAAUACAUGCAAACAGAGCUCCAACCGGAGACGGAAGGAGUGCUUUUAUUAGAUCAAAACCAAUCGGCGGCAGUGGCGUGUUCUCGUCGCUGUUCGUCGCAGUGCUUGGUGACUCUGAAUAACUUUUGGCUGAUCGCACGGUCUUGCACCGGCGACGCAUCUUUCAAAUGUCUGCCUUAUCAACUGUCGAUGGUAGGUUCUGCGCCUACCAUGGUUGUAACGGGUAACGGGGAAUCAGGGUUCGAUUCCGGAGAGGGAGCCUGAGAAACGGCUACCACAUCCAAGGAAGGCAGCAGGCGCGCAAAUUACCCACUCCCGGCACGGGGAGGUAGUGACGAAAAAUAACGAUACGGGACUCAUCCGAGGCCCCGUAAUCGGAAUGAGAACACUUUAAAUCCUUUAACAAGGACCAAUUGGAGGGCAAGUCUGGUGCCAGCAGCCGCGGUAAUUCCAGCUCCAAUAGCGUAUAUUAAAGUUGUUGCGGUUAAAAAGCUCGUAGUUGAAUUUGUGUUCCGCGCUGUCGGUUCACCGCCCGCGGUGUUUAACUGGCACGUCUCGCGGAACGUCCUGCCGGUGGAUGCGUGGCCUUCGUGUACUUCCCCCCGUUGUGCUUGUGCAGCAACUUCCUGUUGUCUGCACUCUGUACAGCGGUGACGGGCGGGCAUGGACGUGUCACCAUCCGACUCAAUAAUCCUGUCGCGGUGCUCUUAAUUGAGUGUCGAGGCGGGCCGGCACGUUUACUUUGAACAAAUUAGAGUGCUCAAAGCAGGCUAAAAUUUUGCCUGAAUACUAUGUGCAUGGAAUAAUGGAACAGGACCUCGGUUCUAUUUUGUUGGUUUUCGGAACCCCGAGGUAAUGAUUAAUAGGGACAGAUGGGGGCAUUCGUAUUGCGACGUUAGAGGUGAAAUUCUUGGAUCGUCGCAAGACGGACAGAAGCGAAAGCAUUUGCCAAAAAUGUUUUCAUUAAUCAAGAACGAAAGUCAGAGGUUCGAAGGCGAUCAGAUACCGCCCUAGUUCUGACCAUAAACGAUGCCAGCUAGCGAUCCGCCGACGUUCCUCCGAUGACUCGGCGGGCAGCUUCCGGGAAACCAAAGCUUUUGGGUUCCGGGGGAAGUAUGGUUGCAAAGCUGAAACUUAAAGGAAUUGACGGAAGGGCACCACCAGGAGUGGAGCCUGCGGCUCAAUUUGACUCAACACGGGACAGCUUACUAGGCCCAGACACCGGAAGGAUUGACAGAUUGAGAGCUCUUUCUUGAUUCGGUGGGUGGUGGUGCAUGGCCGUUCUUCGUUGGUGGAGUGAUUUGUCUGGUUUAUUCCGAUAACGAACGAGAUUCUAGCCUACUAACUAGGCGUUACUUACCGGUAUCCUGAAGGCUCGUGUCUCCCGUGUCCUGGCGUGUGUGCGCUGAGGUGGUACACCACUUCGCGUGGUGUGCGCCGCUCGUGUGCAUGUUCAGUGCGGGAGCUCACGGUUUUUACUACCGGCGUACAUAUAUAUCUUCUUAGAGGGACAGACGACUAUAAGUCGUACGAGAUUGAGCGAUAACAGGUCAGUGAUGCCCUUAGAUGUUCUGGGCCGCACGCGCGCUACACUGAAGGAAUCAGCGUGUUUUCCCUGGCCGAGCGGUCCGGGUAACCCGCUGAACCUCCUUCGUGCUAGGGAUUGGGGCUUGUAAUUUUUCCCCAUGAACGAGGAAUUCCCAGUAAGCGCGAGUCAUUAACUCGCGUUGAUUAAGUCCCUGCCCUUUGUCCACACCGCCCGUCGCUACUACCGAUUGAAUGAUUUAGUGAGGUCUUCGGACUGGUACGCGGGGACGUUUCAACGUUGCCGAUGUCGCUG